AACGAACGCUGGCGGCAGGCUUAACACAUGCAAGUCGAACGCCCCGCAAGGGGAGUGGCAGACGGGUGAGUAACGCGUGGGAAUCUACCCAUCUCUGCGGAAUAGCUCCGGGAAACUGGAAUUAAUACCGCAUACGCCCUACGGGGGAAAGAUUUAUCGGGGAUGGAUGAGCCCGCGUUGGAUUAGCUAGUGGGUGGGGUAAAGGCCUACCAAGGCGACGAUCCAUAGCUGGUCUGAGAGGAUGAUCAGCCACAUUGGGACUGAGACACGGCCCAAACUCCUACGGGAGGCAGCAGUGGGGAAUAUUGGACAAUGGGCGCAAGCCUGAUCCAGCCAUGCCGCGUGAGUGAUGAAGGCCUUAGGGUUGUAAAGCUCUUUCACCGGUGAAGAUAAUGACGGUAACCGGAGAAGAAGCCCCGGCUAACUUCGUGCCAGCAGCCGCCGUAAAAC
rnacentral:rRNA from 1 species